UACGUAGGGGGCAAGCGUUGUCCGGAUUUAUUGGGCGUAAAGAGCGUGUAGGCGGCCAGAUAGGUCCGUUGUGAAAACUCGAGGCUCAACCUCGAGACGCCGAUGGAAACCAUCUGGCUAGAGUCCGGAAGAGGAGAGUGGAAUUCCUGGUGUAGCGGUGAAAUGCGCAGAUAUCAGGAGGAACACCGGUGGCGAAGGCGGUUCUCUGGGCAUUACCUGACGCUGAGGAGCGAAAGCGUGGGGAGCAAACAGG
rnacentral:rRNA from 1 species